AUAAUGGGUCAGCGACUUAUAUUCUGUAGCAAGGUUAACCGAAUAGGGGAGCCGAAGGGAAACCGAGUCUUAACUGGGCGUUAAGUUGCAGGGUAUAGACCCGAAACCCGGUGAUCUAGCCAUGGGCAGGUUGAAGGUUGGGUAACACUAACUGGAGGACCGAACCGACUAAUGUUGAAAAAUUAGCGGAUGACUUGUGGCUGGGGGUGAAAGGCCAAUCAAACCGGGAGAUAGCUGGUUCUCCCCGAAAGCUAUUUAGGUAGCGCCUCGUGAAUUCAUCUCCGGGGGUAGAGCACUGUUUCGGCAAGGGGGUCAUCCCGACUUACCAACCCGAUGCAAACUGCGAAUACCGGAGAAUGUUAUCACGGGAGACACACGGCGGGUGCUAACGUCCGUCGUGAAGAGGGAAACAACCCAGACCGCCAGCUAAGGUCCCAAAGUCAUGGUUAAGUGGGAAACGAUGUGGGAAGGCCCAGACAGCCAGGAUGUUGGCUUAGAAGCAGCCAUCAUUUAAAGAAAGCGUAAUAGCUCACUGGUCGAGUCGGCCUGCGCGGAAGAUGUAACGGGGCUAAACCAUGCACCGAAGCUGCGGCAGCGACACUAUGUGUUGUUGGGUAGGGGAGCGUUCUGUAAGCCUGUGAAGGUGUACUGUGAGGUAUGCUGGAGGUAUCAGAAGUGCGAAUGCUGACAUAAGUAACGAUAAAGCGGGUGAAAAGCCCGCUCGCCGGAAGACCAAGGGUUCCUGUCCAACGUUAAUCGGGGCAGGGUGAGUCGACCCCUAAGGCGAGGCCGAAAGGCGUAGUCGAUGGGAAACAGGUUAAUAUUCCUGUACUUGGUGUUACUGCGAAGGGGGGACGGAGAAGGCUAUGUUGGCCGGGCGACGGUUGUCCCGGUUUAAGCGUGUAGGCUGGUUUUCCAGGCAAAUCCGGAAAAUCAAGGCUGAGGCGUGAUGACGAGGCACUACGGUGCUGAAGCAACAAAUGCCCUGCUUCCAGGAAAAGCCUCUAAGCAUCAGGUAACAUCAAAUCGUACCCCAAACCGACACAGGUGGUCAGGUAGAGAAUACCAAGGCGCUUGAGAGAACUCGGGUGAAGGAACUAGGCAAAAUGGUGCCGUAACUUCGGGAGAAGGCACGCUGAUAUGUAGGUGAAGUCCCUCGCGGAUGGAGCUGAAAUCAGUCGAAGAUACCAGCUGGCUGCAACUGUUUAUUAAAAACACAGCACUGUGCAAACACGAAAGUGGACGUAUACGGUGUGACGCCUGCCCGGUGCCGGAAGGUUAAUUGAUGGGGUCAGCGCAAGCGAAGCUCUUGAUCGAAGCCCCGGUAAACGGCGGCCGUAACUAUAACGGUCCUAAGGUAGCGAAAUUCCUUGUCGGGUAAGUUCCGACCUGCACGAAUGGCGUAAUGAUGGCCAGGCUGUCUCCACCCGAGACUCAGUGAAAUUGAACUCGCUGUGAAGAUGCAGUGUACCCGCGGCAAGACGGAAAGACCCCGUGAACCUUUACUAUAGCUUGACACUGAACAUUGAGCCUUGAUGUGUAGGAUAGGUGGGAGGCUUUGAAGUGUGGACGCCAGUCUGCAUGGAGCCGACCUUGAAAUACCACCCUUUAAUGUUUGAUGUUCUAACGUGGACCCGUAAUCCGGGUUGCGGACAGUGUCUGGUGGGUAGUUUGACUGGGGCGGUCUCCUCCUAAAGAGUAACGGAGGAGCACGAAGGUUGGCUAAUCCUGGUCGGACAUCAGGAGGUUAGUGCAAUGGCAUAAGCCAGCUUGACUGCGAGCGUGACGGCGCGAGCAGGUGCGAAAGCAGGUCAUAGUGAUCCGGUGGUUCUGAAUGGAAGGGCCAUCGCUCAACGGAUAAAAGGUACUCCGGGGAUAACAGGCUGAUACCGCCCAAGAGUUCAUAUCGACGGCGGUGUUUGGCACCUCGAUGUCGGCUCAUCACAUCCUGGGGCUGAAGUAGGUCCCAAGGGUAUGGCUGUUCGCCAUUUAAAGUGGUACGCGAGCUGGGUUUAGAACGUCGUGAGACAGUUCGGUCCCUA
rnacentral:rRNA from 1 species